UACGUAGGGCGCAAGCGUUAAUCGGAAUUACUGGGCGUAAAGCGUGCGCAGGCGGUUGUGCAAGACCGAUGUGAAAUCCCCGGGCUUAACCUGGGAAUGGCAUUGGUGACUGCACGGCUAGAGUGUGUCAGAGGGGGGUAGAAUUCCACGUGUAGCAGUGAAAUGCGUAGAGAUGUGGAGGAAUACCGAUGGCGAAGGCAGCCCCCUGGGAUAACACUGACGCUCAUGCACGAAAGCGUGGGGAGCAAACAGG
rnacentral:rRNA from 1 species